AGUAACGCGUGGGUAACCUGCCCUUUUGUGGGGAACAACUUCGAGAAAUCGGAGCUAAUACCGCAUAAUAAUAGAGGAUCGCAUGAUUCUUUAAGGAAAGAUGGCCUCUGAAGAUGCUAUCGCAAAAGGAUGGACCCGCGUCUGAUUAGCUAGUUGGAAGGGUAACGGCCUACCAAGGCAACGAUCAGUAGCCGGCCUGAGAGGGUGAACGGCCACAUUGGGACUGAGACACGGCCCAAACUCCUACGGGAGGCAGCAG
rnacentral:rRNA from 1 species